AUUGAACGCUGGCGGCAGGCCUAACACAUGCAAGUCGGACGAGCGGCGGACGGGUGAGUAAUGUAUGGGGAUCUGCCUGAUGGAAGGGGAUAACUACUGGAAACGGUCGCUAAUAACGCAUACCCUCAGCUGAACCCAUAUGGGAUUAGCUUGUAGGUGAGGUAACGGCUACCCUGGGCGACGAUCCCUAGCUGGUCUGAGAGGAUGAUCAGCCACACUGGGACUUAGACACGGCCCAGACUCCUACGGGAGGCAGCAGUGGGUAAUAUUGCCCAAUGGGCGCAAUCCUGAGGCAGCCACGCCGCGUGUAUGAAGAAGGCCUUCGGGUUGUAAAGUACUUUCAGUCGGGAGGCGUUACCGACAGAAGAAGCACCGGCUAACUCCGUGCCAGCAGCCGCGGUAAUUC
rnacentral:rRNA from 1 species